UCAUUAACAAAUGACUUCUUGAAAAAGAAGUGGAAGGGUAUAGAUUUAGCUUGAAGAUAGUAUGCUCUCGGGUAUAUUGUUGGAUGGUGAGGUUUAUAUCUUUUAUCAUUUUAGUACCAGAUGUAGGCUUCGGUUUGCAUUUGAGCUAGGAAAAAGUAUCUAUGUUAGUACUAGGAUUGCUACUUGUAGUGGUUUUAGGGUAUUUGCUGAUAUAGUAAGUGGGAAUACUUUUUUGUUGUGUUGCUAAUUAGUAAAGAUUAUUAUUAGUAGCUAGAAUGAAUGGAAGUAGUUAUUAGAAAACUUUAAGAGUAUUAGUGCAAGGGAGUGCUAGGUUUUAUAUUUAUAUAAGGCUGGGUUAAAGCUUGUACUAGUAUUUUUAGAGUGAUUUAGUAAUUAUUGAAGUUUGUUUUAGUUAUGAGCAUUUUUGAUAUUGAUUAGUAGUAUAAUAAGAGGGUAGUUUUGUUUAUUAUAAAGGUAGAUGCCAUACUUGCUAAAAAUGCUGAUAUCUUUUGUAGUAGUUUAAUUUAGAGCAUUAUUGUUUUAGAUUAGUCUACCUAAGGGGGGUAUUAUAUUUUAUAGAGUUGCUUUAGGUGAAGUUAUGUUAGGAAUUUGGCUAUGCUUUAGUUUGAUAGUAUUGCAAUUAUUGGUAUAUUAAGCGGUAUGUUUUAUAAAUGUAUUGUUUGGUAUAUUGAGAAGUUGUAGUAUUGUUUGGCUGGAGUAUAAUUAGAUUUUUAGUAUGGCUUUUCUUGGAGUAAUUUUGUAGUAUAUAGUAUUCUUUGGGGUAUUUUAAUUUAAUAUGAUGAUUGUUUUAGGUUAAAUUGCUGUAAGGGAUUAAGGUACUAUAGUUGGUAUGAUGAGAUAGAGAAAUAACUUUGUAAAUAAGGGGUAAAAUCCUUAAACCAUACCAAUUUAAAAAUAAAACAAAAAAAAUACGACUUAUAACAAUGGAUCUCUCGGCUCUUACAUCGAUGAAGAACGUAGUGAAAUGCGAUACAUAAUAUGAAUUGCAGAUCUUGUGAAUCAUCGAGUCUUUGAACGCACUUUGCACCAAUCGAAAGAUUGGUAUGUUUGUUUGAGUACUUCUUACACCUGCCUCAGAAACUUGUUUUUGAGAAUUUGGGCUUAACAGUAAUUUUAAUUGCUGUAGACCUUAAAUAUUAGUAAGGGUUUAUUUCCAGGUAUCAGAGAGUUCGCUCUGUGGUAUCUCGUUAUUAACUUCUGAAUGAUGGCUAGUUAUUUUGACUGACUAAUUGUAAUGUGUUUAAGCUUUUUAUCAUUGUUUUGAUAUUGAAUGCCCCGGGCUCUGCUCAAGGUAGUUAGUAUUUUGAUGGUGGUAGAGGGUAGAGAUGCUUUAUAAUUGGAAGGAAUUGAUAGCUAGUUUGAAUUCUAGCUUCCUUCGUAAGUACUCUAAAUCAAGCUAGCCACUCCUAA
rnacentral:rRNA from 1 species